CUCUUCUCUUUUGAUUUUUCUUUGUUUUUCAAUCUUUUUCUCACUUACUCCUCUUCUGUUUUUUUUUUUUGCCUUUUGUUUUUUGCUUUUUAGUUUCCUUUUUUCUCAUCCGUCUUUUCUUUUGUGUUGCCUUCUCUGAUCUUUUUUCUUCUGUGUAUGCUUGUGAGGUAUUAUAUAUUGUGUGAUUGUGUGCAUGUGUGGGAAGUUGAGGAUG
rnacentral:lncRNA from 1 species